rnacentral:misc_RNA from 1 species
AAGUCGCAACAAGGUUUCCGUAGGUGAACCUGCGGAAGGAUCAUUAACACGUAUCCAACGUUUAACCACCCGUGCACCUUCGAAUACCCGUCGCUACGCGAUUUCUUGCGGGCGGGAAGUUCGGCUUCCUUAGCCUUCGUCGGGUGGUCAUUGUGUCUUCGGGAAGUCGCGCUCUUUGCUGGUUUCAAGUUUAAACGAAUUAAGUUUCCGCGAGGUCGUGGUGCGUCCCCCCGUGGUUCAUAUUUACCGCGGCAAAACUUGACAACUUUAACCAACCGCGCUUCAGCCCAUUAAAGCUGGAGUCGGAAACCCUGAACAACUGUUAGCAAUGGAUAUCUUGGCUCUC